rnacentral:rRNA from 1 species
CCCUUAGAUGUUCUGGGCCGCACGCGCGCUACACUGAUGCCUUCAACGAGCCUAGCCUUGACCGAGAGGUCCGGGUAAUCUUUGAAACUGCAUCGUGAUGGGGCUAGAUUAUUGCAAUUAUUAAUCUUCAACGAGGAAUGCCUAGUAAGCGUGAUUCAUCAAAUCGCGUUGAUUACGUCCCUGCCCUUUGUACACACCGCCCGUCGCUCCUACCGAUUGAGUGUGUUGGUGAGGAGUUUGGAUUGGCCUCGGAAGGUGGUUCGCCACCGUCCGUAGCUGAGAAGUUCUCCAAACCGCCCCACUUAGAGGAAGGAGAAGUCGUAACA